CAAUAGCGUAUAUUUAAGUUGUUGCAGUUAAAAAGCUCGUAGUCGGAUUUUGGCUGAGAACGAUCGGUCCGCCGUUAGGUGUGCACUGAUUGGUCUCAGCUUCCUGGUGAGGAGGUGUGCUUCACGGCCACUUAGUCACCGUGGUUACUUUGAAAAAAUUAGAGUGUUCAAAGCGGGCUUACGCUUGAAUAUAUUAGCAUGGAAUAACACCAUAGGACUCCUGUCCUAUUUCGUUGGUCUCGGGACGGGAGUAAUGAUUAAGAGGAACAGUUGGGGGCAUUCGUAUUUCAUUGUCAGAGGUGAAAUUCAAUAAUUUGUCUGAGACAAACUAAAGCGAAAGCAUUCGCCAUGGAUGUUUUCAUUAA
rnacentral:rRNA from 1 species